rnacentral:misc_RNA from 1 species
CAGAGUUGCAAAACUCCCAAACCAUUGUGAACGUUACCCUUACCGUUGCUUCGGCGGGCGGCCCGGGUCCUGCCCGGCGCCCCUCGGCCCUCGCGGGCGCCCGCCGGAGGUAAACCAAACUAUUGCAUUGUAUGGCCUCUCUGAGUCUUCUGUACUGAAUAAGUCA